AGAAAAUCAAAAUUUUAAUGAUGAACUUGAUACCAUAAGCAACAAUUUACCACCCACAUCAGAAAAUCAGAAUUUUAAUGAUGAACUUGAUACCAUAAGCAACAAUUUACCACUCACCUCAGAAAUACCUAGAUACUCUAUAAAAAAUUAUGAUAAAAAUAAGCUAAAUACACUUGAUCACUUCAAAUCUCUACCUAGUAAAAGUAUAUCAAGUAUCACAUUGAAGAAGAAUGAUAGUAGUCAACAAAAUAUUAUAGGCUGUAUCAAUUUAGAAUUUAAAGGAAUAUCUCAAUUAAUAUUCACACCAAGGGGUAAAAAAAAUAGUGAUAACAAACAAAAAAAUACACUAAGUCACAACAAAUCACUAUCUAAUAAAUAUAUAUAAAAAAUCUAGGGAGAAUUUAAA